rnacentral:rRNA from 1 species
UACAGAGGUGGCGAGCGUUGUUCGGAAUUACUGGGCGUAAAGGGCUCGUAGGUGGCCAACUAAGUCAGACGUGAAAUCCCUCGGCUUAACCGGGGAACUGCGUCUGAUACUGGAUGGCUUGAGUGUGGGAGAGGGAUGCGGAAUUCCAGGUGUAGCGGUGAAAUGCGUAGAUAUCUGGAGGAACACCGGUGGCGAAGGCGGCAUCCUGGACCACGACUGACGCUGAGUGAGCGAAAGCCAGGGGAGCAAACGGG